UCCUAACCACUCAUUACUACAUCCUAACCACUCAUUACUACAUCCUAACCACUCAUUACUACAUCCUAACCACUCAUUACUACAUCCCAACCACCCAUUACUACAUCCUAACCACUCAUUACUACAUCCUAACCACUCAUUACUACACCUAACCACUCGUUACUACAUCUAACUACUCAUUACUACAUCCUAACCACUCACUACUACCACCAAAAGACGAAGGUCGGGAGCCAAUCCGUCAGUAUCUUAUCUUGCGCGUGAAAAUAACUUAAUUUGUUAAAAUAAAAAGAGCAUUGUCAGAAAAGUAGGGGUUUGGUUCUACAUACAUGUACCUCACACGUUGGUACAUGUAUAUAAGUACAAUUGUUAAUUUGUUAUCAAUGACGUUGUAAUUUAGCAGCACGAUCCACGAACGAGGAUGCUCAUAAAACUCAUUUGCACCCUUUUCAUUGAGAGAGAGAGAGAGAGAGAGAGAGAGAGAGAGAGAGAGAGAGAGAGAGAGAGAGAGAAGUUGAAUUACUGGCGAUCGUCUGAUAAAUUGAGUGGCGGCCGCCCAUUAAAUUGAUAUGAAUUCUAAACACUGGUCCUUACCGGCUUCCGUACUAUCUAGAUUCACAGUGACCCAGUUUUUGACACGGGCACUAGAAGUUAUGUAAAUAUAUAGUAUGUGCAUGUAUAAAAAAGAUACAUGCAUAUACUAUAUAUUUACUUUAACUUCUAGUGCCCGUGGUUUUUGAUACAGUGUGUGUAAACAUGGAUAUCUAUUUGUAUAUCUUUAUUUAUUGAAACUUAACUAGCUCGUUGACAAAAUAAUCUUACAAAAAUGUUCUGAAAAAUAUGAAAGGGGGUUAUACAGGCAAUAAAAUAAUGAUAUGCAGUUUCUUUUGUAUUCAGAGAUUGAACGCAGCGUAAACAACUGAAGUGUAGGCAUCACGUAGUGCUUCGUUAGUGUUAGUGUCAGUGUGUGCGUGUGGAAGGGGGGUGGGGGGGGGGGGGUGUGUUGACAAAUGUAUGAGAAUUCUUGACCAAAAACAAAUACCCAUAUUUAGCCAAACUUGGAAGAUUUUAGAUGUGGGUGUGGAGGAGGCCCUAUAUCUCCUUAAAUAUGUUUGUUUCCGAUUCCAUCUAGGUAGCAUCUUCGCUAGCCAAGGGUUUUCAGUCCACUCCGCUGACGAAGAUGGCAAGGAAUGAUAAAAAUGGCGGUUUAUCUGCAAAUGAGAGAUCUAUAUUAGAGUCCAAAUUUUGCUGUGAUUUGAUGCAUGAUAAGAAUAUCUAAUAACACAUGUCUGUAAGAUUUAGAUAGACAUUUUAGUUUUCAAAUAAAGAUAUUUAUGAAAAUUUAAAACGUUAAUUGCUAAUUUGAUAAUUUUUAAGAAAUCUAAAAAUUUUUUUUUAAGGAAGUUGUCAAUUACAUGUAAAAGAAGUGUGACAGGGUGAUAUUUUUGUAAAGUAAAUAUAUUAUUUCAUUAUUUAGAUUAUGAAGAUUAGUACAUGACAAAAGUUGUCUUUACUUUUAAUUUAUUUUAUGUACAACUUAAUAGUAUAUGCAAAUAUCUCUAAAGUUAUUUAUAGAUUAUGAGAUCAUAAUGGUCAGUAAUAGCACCAUGUAAAUAUUUAUAGAAUAUAGAACUCUCCAAUUUCAUUGGUUGUCUAAGUUCCCUCUCUUUACUAUUGUUCACAUUUUGAAUUGUCUUCUAAGAGUAUAGAAGUGUUUUCUAGAAGAUUUUCCAGAAGAUUUUCCUAGUAUAAUUCGACUGUAAGUAAAUAUGACUUUCUUUUGAGUUUUUAUGAUCAUAUAUAAUUCAAAGUACAUGUGCUUACUUUGAAUUAAUACAUUUGCUGAAUAGUUAGAUUUUAUGCAUUUUCUAUGAUGGUAAUUGAGUAAGAGUGAUCAUAUGCAUUUCUACAUUAUCUUUAAGUUAUCAAUUACAACUAAAGAGUAAAAUGUAUAUCAGUAUGAAUGUAUAUUAAAACUAUAAAUCAUGAUUGAAUCAAAUGUAGUAGUUUAAAUAUGUUAUGUGUGAAUGUCAGAGUGUUCGAGUAGUAUUCAGCUAUUUUUACUUUUUAUGAUUUCCUUGUGUGAAUAAGUAAUGUAACAUUAGUUUCACACAAGUAUUUGAUAUUUCAUUAUUUCUAUAUAGAUUUAUUACCAGCAUAUAGAAUAUUCUGGACCUGACAAGAAAUUUGGCUCUGUGUCACACAUAGGUAUGACAUUGCAUUUUUUUGUAUAUUCUUUGCAUUAUGAUAAGUUCUGAAUAUUCUUAUCUAGUUGAUUAUUUAGUCUAUGAUUAAUUAAGUGCAAUAGUCAAGUAAGAUAAAUCUAUUUAUUAUUUAUACCACAUAGUAAUCAAUAGUCAAAUAUAUCUUUAUAAGCACUAUUAAGGGGAAUGACUCUUGGUUGUAAACUGUGCUGAGCAAAUGAGUUUUCUAUGUUGAUAUUUUUAUACUAUAUGUUUUAAUUCAUGAUAUAUAUUAUAUGUGAUAUUCUUGUUAUAUAUUUCAGAGUUAAUUAGAAAAGAAUACAAACUCUGAUAGAACC